CUGUAGCUCACCGGCAGCGUAUUUGCUUUGUGUGCAGAAGGUCCCAGGUUCAAUCCCUGGCAUGGGAAAGA